rnacentral:rRNA from 1 species
GACGAACGCUGGCGGCGUGCUUAACACAUGCAAGUCGAACGGAAAGGCCCUGCUUUUGUGGGGUGCUCGAGUGGCGAACGGGUGAGUAACACGUGAGUAACCUGCCCUUGACUUUGGGAUAACUUCAGGAAACUGGGGCUAAUACCGGAUAGGAGCUCCUGCUGCAUGGUGGGGGUUGGAAAGUUUCGGCGGUUGGGGAUGGACUCGCGGCUUAUCAGCUUGUUGGUGGGGUAGUGGCUUACCAAGGCUUUGACGGGUAGCCGGCCUGAGAGGGUGACCGGCCACAUUGGGAAGGAGAUACGGCCCAGACUCCCACGGGAGGCAGCAGGGGGGAAUAUUGCAAAAGGGGCGGAAGCCUGAUGCAGCAACGCCGCGGGCGGGAUGACGGCCUUCGGGUUGUAAACCGCUUUCGCCUGGGACGAAGCGGGAGUGACGGUAAUGGGUAAAGAAGCACCGGCUAACCACGG